GUUAGUGCACAUAACUCAGUCAUGGUGCCUGACAUGCAUGAACUUUAAGUCGGAUGUAUGUUUAUUUUGUUCCACCCUGUCUGCGGCCCCUUCACCCUGCAGGAUGUCGUCCCUCAGGACAGCGUCUAAUGCUGCAGCUGGAUCGUGCGCCUCUUCGUUUGUCUCGAGAACAAACAGUAAGGGAGGAAUAGAGACAAACACACGGAAACGGGAAGGGAUGUAUGAGAUAACUUAAGGUGUGAUGACUGAUGGGACACAUAGACACAUGGUCUCAUGGUGUCUUUAUCUGCAGCACUGUCUGACUAUAGUUCAGCACCAACACGAUCCACAUUAUCAGAGGGCAAGAAGGGACACUUCUGAACAAACAAGGACAGGAAUGACAGGCACGUGGAUAGUGGACAGAUGAUUGCAUGUGACUGCUCAAGACAAGCUGCAUGAGAGAAGAGUCGUUCAACAUUCAGGCAGCAGCCAGAAAAUAGAUGGAAGCAGAAAGCAGUCAGAGAGCACCACCAUGUGGCAGAAAGGAGGAACUGUAGAUCUGUGGAUGGGAAUUACUACAUCUAAUACAAAGGAAGCCUGAAAUUGAAGUGCACUGUUUUCAGAGUUCACCAUGACAGCCAUAAAUCUAACAGUAAUGAACUUACAUAAGUACAUUAGAUUUACAUUAGUAGGCCAUUUUGCUUUGAUCGACUUAAAAUUGUUAAAACAGCAUUUUUCUGCUCAACUAUAUAAACCAAAAAUGUAAAUGCCAUGAGAAUUUAUCACCAGAGCAGCUAAGUUAAACAGAGUAUCACAGCAGCAAGUAAGAAAUGUAUCCUCCUGUUGAUCACUCUUUUUCAUUCUGGUGUUUCUUGUAUUUACAAUUUAUUAAUUGGCAGUUUUCCCUUUUUUUUUACCAUUGUAAUAAUUCAUGUAAGUCAAUGGUAAGAAAUCUUUCUUGCAAAUCCUGGUUUACAGCGUGUGUCAGCUCCCCAUUUCCCUUGAGCCAAGAGUCAAGCUGAACAGCAGGUGGAUGACAGGCAGACGUCCCUGCAUGUGACAGUUUGAAGAUAACGAUGGGCCUAAAAAUAGAUUUUCUAUGUAACCGCUGAUCUAUAAAUAACCUUUUCUCUUCGAAGCUCUUCACAUUAUUCACAUUAUUCUCCUGUGUGUUCUGAGCUCUGACGCACAGAAACAUUUGAAGCUCAACUGAAGCAUAUUUUCUGAUUUAGUAAUAAACAAAGACAUAAAGGUCAAUUAUGUCAUAUUUUUCGCAAUAAAAUCCACAUAGAUAAUUGAAAAGUCUGUUGCAUACUCUAAAACAGGGCUGCAACUGACAAUUAUUUUCAUUAUAAAAAAGAAAAUUCAUCAAGCAAUUAAUUAUUUCAUCUAGAUGCUGAACAAUAUCACAGCGGUCAAGGUAAUGUCUUUAAAAUGGCUGUUAUGUCUGAUCAAUUAAGACAGAGGAUUUUAUUUUCUCAGCAGACAUGUGAAGAAUGAAAGUGGGGAAAGCGGAGAGAAGAAUAAAAUGAGAUGAUGGGUGAAUUCCAUUUAGCUGCUUCAGUUUCAAGGUCCUGAUGUUGUGCAUGCUGCCUCACUGUCACAGGGCCCUUCAAUAAAACUCAGACAUUGUUUUAUUUUUAUUCUCUUAUCAAAUAUAUAUUAUAAAGUGUAUAUAAAUAUAUUUAAAAAAAUUGUGUGAAAAGGAUUUGAAAGAAAAAACAUGUUGAUCUUCACAUAAUAGAUCACUCCUGUAUUUCUGCGGGAUUGAAACAAUAACCAAAUCAAUCAAUUCACUAUCGAAAAUGAAAAUUUGUUUUAUUUUUAAGUUUUCGAACAAACAAAAAAAAGGAAUUAUUUUACUGUUACUACACAAUAAUGAUUUAAAAUUAAUCAAUUAAAAAUCUUUGGUUUGGAUCAAAGAUUGUGGACUUCUUUUUGAGAAAAAUAUAUGGGAAAUCCUUAGUAAAUUUUGUUAUGUAACAUUAUA